rnacentral:lncRNA from 11 species
GCGUGCUUUUAGAAGUCCAAAACCCCUGGAGGGCCCAAGUUUGCCCAUGCCUGUCUUACCUGGAUAAUUUUCAAAAUAUACAUAACUAAUCCCAGUCUAUGGAAGGGGCCCUACACUGCCAUAUAAAAUCCAGAUUGUCUACUUUGAACUGGAUUAUAUGGCAGCGUAGACUCAUAUAAAGUUCAAAGCAGAUAAUGUGGAUUAUCUGCUUUUGAUCAUCUGAAUUAUAUGGUAGUGUAGAAGGGGCUAUCGUACUUGUGCUAACAACAAAACCCUAGAAUAUAACUCUCCAUAUGGCAUAGAAUUUCUUGCAGGUGUCAAGUAUAUCUUGUGUGACGACAGCUUGUCUGGCAUCUAUGAUCACUGAAUUUAGCUUCUGAUGUUUGGCCGCUAGCUACUCAUGUUUGGAAUUGUCCACCUGGUACACUAUUCAAUCUUCUUAGCCAUUGGGGGAACAGAGGAAGGCAUUGACCAGGAAGACUUCAAUCCUUUCAGAAGGGGAAUGAAGAGGAAAAAACACAUUCUCAAUCUGGCUGUCAGGAUGCAGACAGUGUGAAUUAUGGAACCAAUUUGAGGUCAGUUUCCGAGGUUGUGUAAUCAUUUUUCUGGCCUCCAAAC